rnacentral:rRNA from 1 species
AGAGUUUGGUCAUGGCUCAGAUUGAACGCUGGCGGCAGGCUUAACACAUGCAAGUCGAGCGGUAACAGAUCCAGCUUGCUGGAUGCUGACGAGCGGCGGACGGGUGAGUAACGCGUAGGAAUCUACCCAGUAGCGGGGGAUAGCCCGGGGAAACCCGGAUUAAUACCGCAUACGCCCCACGGGGGAAAGCAGGGGAUCUUCGGACCUUGCGCUAUUGGAUGAGCCUGCGUCGGAUUAGCUAGUUGGUGGGGUAAAGGCCCACCAAGGCGACGAUCCGUAGCUGGUCUGAGAGGAUGAUCAGCCACACCGGGACUGAGACACGGCCCGGACUCCUACGGGAGGCAGCAGUGGGGAAUAUUGGACAAUGGGGGCAACCCUGAUCCAGCCAUGCCGCGUGUGUGAAGAAGGCUUUCGGGUUGUAAAGCACUUUCAGUGGGGAGGAAAUGGUGGCCGUUAAUAGCGGUUGCAAUUGACGUUACCCACAGAAGAAGCACCGGCUAACUCCGUGCCAGCAGCCGCGGUAAUACGGAGGGUGCAAGCGUUAAUCGGAAUUACUGGGCGUAAAGCGCGCGUAGGCGGCUUGGUCAGUUGGGUGUGAAAUCCCCGGGCUUAACCUGGGAACUGCAUUCAAUACUGCCAGGCUAGAGUAUGGGAGAGGGUAGUGGAAUUCCACGUGUAGCGGUGAAAUGCGUAGAUAUGUGGAGGAACACCCGUGGCGAAGGCGGCUGCCUGGCCCAAUACUGACGCUGAGGUGCGAAAGCGUGGGUAGCGAACAGGAUUAGAUACCCUGGUAGUCCACGCUGUAAACGAUGUCAACUAGCCGUUGGAGGACUUGAUCUUUUAGUGGCGCAGCUAACGCGAUAAGUUGGCCGCCUGGGGAGUACGGCCGCAAGGUUAAAACUCAAAUGAAUUGACGGGGGCCCGCACAAGCGGUGGAGCAUGUGGUUUAAUUCGAUGCAACGCGAAGAACCUUACCAGGUCUUGACAUCCUGAGAAUCCUUUAGAGAUAGAGGAGUGCCUUCGGGAAUUCAGUGACAGGUGCUGCAUGGCUGUCGUCAGCCCGUGUCGUGAGAUGUUGGGUUAAGUCCCGUAACGAGCGCAACCCUUGUCCUUUGUUGCCAGCACGUAAUGGUGGGAACUCAAAGGAGACUGCCGGUGACAAACCGGAGGAAGGUGGGGACGACGUCAAGUCAUCAUGGCCCUUACGACCUGGGCUGCACACGUGCUACAAUGGCCGGUACAAAGGGCAGCAAAGCGGUGACGUGGAGCCAAUCCCAUAAAACCGGUCGUAGUCCGGAUUGGAGUCUGCAACUCGACUCCAUGAAGUCGGAAUCGCUGGUAAUCGUGAAUCAGAAUGUCGCGGUGAAUACGUUCCCGGGCCUUGUACACACCGCCCGUCACACCAUGGGAGUGGGUUGCACCAGAAGUAGCUAGUCUAACCUUCGGGAGGACGGUUACCACGGUGUGAUUCAUGACUGGGGUGAAGUCGGAACAAGGUA